GCCGGGGGCUGUCACUUAAUAUACUGGUGCAGCACUUGGUAGAAGAUAAGAAUGGAUACAGAGUACCUCAAGAAAUGCAUAAGAAAAUGCUUAACUGAAGGACUUGCAGAUGUGGCAGAGCAUCGGCCAGCAGACCCAAUUAAUUAUCUGGCAUACUGGCUUUACAAACACAAGAAAAAUUUAAAUAAAGAAGAAGAAAAGAUCAUUAUUGAACAGUAUCCAAGAAAGAUGACAGCAGAACUGAUCAACAAGUCUGGAACCCCUAAUUUGGCAACGGUGAUAGAGGAUGAUGAGACUGUUAUUUAGAAAAGGAAGUAAGGAGAAGGUUGUGGACAUUUUGGCAGAUGGUAAAGCUGUGGACACAUACCAGGAACCAUCAAGGGACAAACUUGACAGGGAAGACGAUUCAGUACAUGAAUGAGAAUGAGCUGAAUGAAUCACUAAAAGAAACCUCAUGAGGAAGCCUCAAAUGAGAACACUGCAAGCAAAGAUCCCAUAAAGCUUUCUGAGAUGACUGGUACAACACAGCAAACCUAGGAAUGAGUAAGACAUGAAAACCAAAGACAUAGUAGUUUCAUAUUACAGGUAUGAAUCCAGUGAAGAACUGAAAUUAAUAUAAAGACAAAAAAUUAGGUAUAUGAAUUGACUAAAUUUAUCUUCCUCUUAAGUACAGUAUUCUGGAAAUGAGCAGGAAAGAGUCUUCCUUUCUGUUCAUGAUGGUUCACAGAUACUAAGGCCCUGAUCCUGAAAUGUAAUAUGUGUGUGCAGACUGGUGUCUGUAUUUGCAUGGGAAAGUAAAAUAAAUCAGUGCACGAUAAAAGACUUUAGAGCAGUUUUUUCUUUAAACUUUCUGUACCUCUUGCAUUCUACACCACCUAUUAUAUUGAUUUUUAAAAACACGUCCUGGGAAAUAUAAUGACACUACUAAUUUUGUACUCCAUAUUUAAUGGAUCCAAUUUAAUUACUGUAUCUGUAAUUGCUAAUUUUGGAAAUAGUGCAUCCUUUAGAACAGUUCUUAAAGUGGUAGACUUUACUAAAUCUCAGUCACAAAGCAAAUGAAACUGGCAUCUUUACAUUUUGCCUAUGAAACAGUAUCCUGGAUUUCUAGUUAAAUAAUUGCAUAAAAUAACUUCUGAAUAAUAGCUACUGUGCACCUGCUAAUUUAGAAUUUGUUUAAACUGCUUCAAAGUUUUUAAUAAGGUUUUAGCACAGCUCCUAUGGCCAAUCAUAUUUUAAAAUCUAGGUUAUUAAAUGCUAUUUCAUCCUGUAUGUUCAGUUGUCUAUAGGUUUUUUUACGAUUAUGCAUACUUUGGAUCCAAUUUGAAUGAGGGAAGUGUCAAAAAUCAUUUUCCUUGUAUGUAUUCAGGAGGCCAUCAAAAAAUUUGGAUCAAAAGUUGGAGUUUCUACUUUUCUACAGUAACUGUACCAUUUAAAAGUUUCAUAACACACUUAUGCACAUGACUUUAGACUAGAAAGAUGGAAUGGAAGAGCCUCAGUCACAGUCUCCAAAUAGGCUUUUCACAUUGUAAGAAAUUCCAGAUGGGGUAAGGGAGAGGAGAAGAAGAGAAGGAUAAUUUAUAGUUGAUCGUGCUUCUCUAGAAAGGCAUUCACCAUUAACCUUUUUUACAGCUCUCAUUUGCCUGUAACUUCCACUGAAGUCAGCUGGAAUUCUGUGAAGCAAGCCCUAAAUCUAUAAUUAGCAAACACUACCUUAACUGUCAUUAUAUUUAGUUUUUAAGUGGCAGGACACACCCCAUCCACCCCUAACGUUAGAAUCAUGGAAAUAAGAGGAAAAACUUGUGACCUUUCCACCUUCAU